CCUGGUUGAUCCUGCCAGUAGUCAUAUGCUUGUCUCAAAGAUUAAGCCAUGCAUGUGUAAGCACACACUGUUUUAAAAGUGAAGCCGCGAAUGGCUCAUUACAACAGCCACAGUUUAUUAGAACUUACAAUCAUGGAUAACUGUGGUAAUUCUAGAGCUAAUACACGCACAAAAACUUCAACUGAAUUGGUUGAAGUGCUUUUAUUAGAACAAAAACCGAACGGCGUUUGACGAAUGUUGAACGUCGAAACUGUUUGGUGAAUCUGAAUAACUAUUUCUGAUCGCAUGGUCUAGCACCGGCGACAUCACUUUCAAGUGUCUGCCUUAUCAACCUUCGAUGGUAGUCUAUGCGACUACCAUGGUGAUAACGGGUAACGGAGAAUCAGGGUUCGACUCCGGAGAGGGAGCCUGAGAAACGGCUACCACAUCCAAGGAAGGCAGCAGGCGCGCAAAUUACCCACUCCCAGCUUGGGGAGGUAGUGACGAAAAAUAACGAGACGAUUCUCGUUUGAGAAACGUUAUCGAAAUGAGUACGCUUUACACACGCUAACGAGUAGCAAUUGGAGGGCAAGUCUGGUGCCAGCAGCCGCGGUAAUUCCAGCUCCAAUAGCGUAUAUUAAAGUUGCUGCGGUUAAAACGCUCGUAGUUGAAUUGUGGUCUUAGACAACAGUCCCCCUACAAAGGUGUGGCACGGUUGCUCGAGAUCUUCAUUCGUGGUUGCUGUUGUUGCUCUUCAUUGAGUGUCAAUGGUGCCUCGAGAUUUUACUUUGAAAAAAUUAGAGUGCUCAAAGCAGGUUGUGAUGCCUGAAUAAUGGUGCAUGGAAUAAUAGAAUACGAUCUCGGUUCUAUUUUGUUGGAGUUGUUCGGUGGAGAAUUCAAUUUUCCUGAAGGACGCCCAUCAACUCAUUUUGACACAUUCCCUGUUGCAUUAAUAACAGUGUUUCAAAUUUCGAACCGGAGAUAAUGAUUGAAAGGAACAGACGGGGGCAUUCGUAUUGCUGCGUUAGAGGUGAAAUUCUUGGAUCGCAGCAAGAUGAACAAUUGCGAAAGCAUUUGCCAAGAAUGUUUUCAUUAAUCAAGAACGAAAGUUAGAGGUUCGAAGGCGAUCAGAUACCGCCCUAGUUCUAACGGUAAACUAUGCCAACCAGCGAUUCGCCGAAGUUCAUUUAAGACUCGGCGAGCAGCUUCCGGGAAACCAAAGUGUUUCGGUUCCGGGGGAAGUAUGGUUGCAAAGCUGAAACUUAAAGGAAUUGACGGAAGGGCACCACCAGGAGUGGAGCCUGCGGCUUAAUUUGACUCAACACGGGAAAACUCACCCGGCCCGGACACUGGAAGGAUUGACAGAUUGACAGCUCUUUCUUGAUUCAGUGGGUAGUGGUGCAUGGCCGUUCUUAGUUGGUGGAGCGAUUUGUCUGGUUAAUUCCGAUAACGAACGAGACUCUACCCUAUUAAAUAGUGACAGUAUUGUAUUUUUUGUGCUGAUCACUUCUUAGAGGGACUGGCAAAUUGAAAGCUGCACGAAAAAGAGCAAUAACAGGUCUGUGAUGCCCUUCGAUGUCCGGGGCUGCACGCGCGCUACAAUGAAAGCGUCAACGUGAGUUACGUCCUUACCUGAAAAGGUUUGGCAAUCGAAUGAAACGUUUUCUUGAAUGGAAUAGGGAAUUGCAAUUGUUUCCCUUGAACGAGGAAUUCCCAGUAAGCGUGAGUCAUUAGCUCGCGUUGAUUACGUCCCUGCCCUUUGUACACACCGCCCGUCGCUACUACCGAUUGGAUGAUUUAGUGAGGUGUUUUGACUGGCGCCAGUAGUCGGAUAUGUAUUCGGCUUCGCGCCGGGAAAUUUCCCAAACCAAAUCAUCUAGAGGAAGUAAAAGUCGUAACAAGGUUUCCGUAGGUGAACCUGCGGAAG
rnacentral:rRNA from 1 species